UGUGCAUGCGUUAGGGAGGAGGAGGUCUCAGCCACAUAGCCGAUCUGUCAUCACAGAGUGAGUGUGUGUCGGUGUCGGAGUCUCCGUUUUGGUUUUCACUACUCAUUCUGCCUUUUGCCCCACCAAAGAAUCUAUCGUCCUCUUUUUCGUAUAACCAAAUAUGGUAACCCUACUGUGAAUGAGAGUAAAGAAUGGACCAAAUGGAGGAAAAAGAGAAAGGAAGAAGACAGGAAAAGAAAAUUGGUGGGAAGAGUGUACAGCUCUCCCUUAUGCAGUUUCAACAGAUCAGGGCAGUACUACAGAAAUAUGAGAAAUUGCUUUUUGGUAAGCCAUCAUGCACCAACCUGAUGAAGCACUGUGUAGAGAAAGGGUCUUGGUGGCCAAUCAAACAGGUCAUUUUAUUCUAACUGAGCUAGUUAAACAGGCCCUGAUAGUGGAACUGCAGGCAAUACUGGCACUGGGGUAAUCCAGCAGUUCAAAAGAUUACUUCUGUUUAACAUGUCUUAUGACAAAAUAUAUGCUAACAAAUACACAUAUUUUACAUGUUAGUUCACAGUAAUACCGUAUAUCCCUGGUCUUAAAUUUAGGAAGCCAGCAAGUAGAAGCAGAGUUGGGGUGGUAGAGGGGUUAUCAGCUGAGGGGUCCUACCAAAACUGCUACAGCCGCCCCUGUCCAUAAUCGUUAAUGAACUUCUCUAGUAAACAAAAUGCAAAAUAGGUAUAAAUCAGCAUUACUCAACUCCCCUAUGCUUUGUGAUUCUAAGUAUAAUCACUUAUCACACACUGUGUUACACAUUUACAAAUAGAUACUAUUAUCAAUUGGCAUCGAACAUGUUUCCAAACCAAAUGAACUUCAAUAACAGCUUACGAAUACAUCAGCUCGCAAAGAUGACGAAGAUACCGGAGGAAAACCUUACCUUUGCUACAGCAGAACACGAAACAGAUAGCUUCCACAAACGGACUAAAUGUUACUGAGUCUGCCUUGAAUACAAACGUCAUAGGUCACCAUUUCUAGUUACACUUCCUGUCUGAGCAGAAGACGAAAACCAAUGCCGUGGCAGAGCUUGCUCUCCUUAGCACUGCGCAUGUGUAGACUUGUUUGUCAUCGUCUGUUGGGAAGUUCUCGAUUUGUGUAGAAGAAUGUAACCAACGUAUACCACAGCAUGCAGCUAGACUUUCACAGAACGUAAAGAAUUUUGUCUUAUGUGUUAUGUUUCUCAUACAUUUUUUUUUGGUUUUCUGGCAAAUCUUUAAGAAUUGAAGUUUCCAAGUAAUGACAGACUAAUAUCUUUUAGAAAAUGCAUUGUAAUAUAAAACCUGUACUAGCAACUUUCUAAAUUUGUGGCAGCAGCAUUUAAAAUCUGUGAUUUUGCACGCCAUUAUUUUUGGAUUUCUGCAAAGUACUUGCACUAAGAAAUUCAGAGGAUUGAGGAAGCAGGUAUAUAUCUACGUUU